AGUGAACGCUGGCGGUAGGCCUAACACAUGCAAGUCGAACGGCAGCACAGUAUGAGCUUGCUCUUACGGGUGGCGAGUGGCGGACGGGUGAGGAAUACAUCGGAAUCUACUUUUUCGUGGGGGAUAACGUAGGGAAACUUACGCUAAUACCGCAUACGACCUACGGGUGAAAGCAGGGGAUCUUCGGACCUUGCGCGAUUGAAUGAGCCGAUGUCGGAUUAGCUAGUUGGCGGGGUAAAGGCCCACCAAGGCGACGAUCCGUAGCUGGUCUGAGAGGAUGAUCGGCCACACUGGAACUGAGACACGGGCCAGACUCCUACGGGAGGCAGCAGUAGGGAAGCGUCAGAAAUGGGCGAAAGACUGACGGAGCAACGCCGCGUGAGUAAUGAAGGCAUUCGGAUCGUAAAACGCUGUUAUUAGGGAAGAACAAAUGGGUAAGUAACGAUGCACGUCUUGACGGGACCUAAUAAGAAAGCCACGGCUAACUACGUG
rnacentral:rRNA from 1 species